rnacentral:rRNA from 1 species
AAGCUGGAAUUGCUAGUAAUGGCAGGUCAGCAUACUGCCGUGAAUACGUUCCCGGGCCUUGUACACACCGCCCGUCACACCAUGAGAGUUGGGAAUACCCGAAGCCUGUGAGCCAACUAUAUAGAGGCAGCAGUCGAAGGUAGAAUCAAUGAUUGGGGUGAAGUCGUAACAAGGUAGC